rnacentral:misc_RNA from 1 species
GAUGAAGAACGCAGCGAAAUGCGAUAAGUAAUGUGAAUUGCAGAAUUCAGUGAAUCAUCGAAUCUUUGAACGCACCUUGCACCCUUUGGCAUUCUGAAGGGUAUGCACGUUUGAGUGUCAUUGUACUCUCACACUCCUGAUCUUUGCAUUGGGAGCAGUGGACUUGGGUUUGCUGCUUCACCGUCGCUUACCUCAAAUAGGUUAGUGCAACUCUUGGUUGGACAUAGUACGGCGUGAUAAGUGUUCUUCGCCGGUGCCUCGCAAAGAGGGUGGCCGAUCGGGAUGUUGUGCUCCAAACCGUCUUCGGACAAUCUCUGACGACUUGACCUCAAAUCGAGUAAGACUACCCGCUGAACUUAAGCAUAUCAAUAAGCGGAGGA